UUUAUCUAAUCUAACAGUUUUUUUUCUUUUUUUUUCUAUUUAAUGUGAACAUACUUAAUGACGUUCUAACUAUGUAACCUUAAUUAUGCCAUUUCUUAAAAUAACUAUAGACCUAUAGUUACACAGUUACACCACUAUUUUGUGACGUGCGUUCGAGUUCAGGCUACCACUGUUCCUGCGUGGCAUGAUAUUCCACACAUAAUCGCUACGUCGAAAUGUGGCAAUGAACAGUGCCAACAAGAAGAAGCUCGCUGGGUUAGUAGGCCCACAUCAAGUGGAUGGUAGGCCCAUAUCAAUUGGACGAGAGAAGUUUUGUAGCCAUCGAACUGUCGGGCGCGUUCGCAACGGCUAAUAGAGUUCAAUAGUAAAGGCAACGGUUGGCUCUAAAUCAUUUAUAGUUAAUUUAAUAGUAAUUUAUAUAAUAGUUAUAUACUACAUAAUUAGUAUCCGGUCUCACCUAUGUCUUGAAGUUCGUGCUAUAGCUGACUAUAAAUUAGUAGCACGCUGCUUUUAUCUCUUCUCUCUUAUCUCUUUAAAAUAUGCUUAUAGCUGGCUUAUAGCCUGCUAUUGUACCUGCUCUAAUGCUUUUCGAUGCAAAAUAAGAUAAGUUAUUAGUACUUAUAAUUAAUUAAAUGCUACUGUUAUAAACUUGAAAAUAAAUUCAUCUAAUUUUUUAAGAAAUUUUAAUAUACUAUUUGUUAAAAUAUAUAUUAUUUAGCCUGUAUAAAAA
rnacentral:lncRNA from 1 species